GACGAACGCUGGCGGCGUGCCUAAUACAUGCAAGUCGAACGCAGUGGGGACGGGUGAGUAACACGUGGGUAACCUCCCAUCAGAGGGGAUAACACUUGGAAACAGGUGCUAAACCGAUACUGAUGGAUGGACCCGCGGUGCAUUAGCUAGUUGGUGAGGUAACGGCUCACCAAGGCCACGAUGCAUAGCCGACCUGAGAGGAUGACCAGCCACACUGGAACUGAGACACGGUCCAGACUCCUACGGGAGGCAGCAGUGGGGAAUAUUGCACAAUGGGCGCAAGCCUGAUGCAGCCAUGCCGCGUGUAUGAAGAAGGCCUUCGGGUUGUAAAGUACUUUCAGCGGGGAGGCGUUACCCGCAGAAGAAGCACCGGCUAACUCCGUGCCAGCAGCCGCGGUAAUAC
rnacentral:rRNA from 1 species